rnacentral:sRNA from 1 species
GUUUGCACUUGUCGGAGAAGGGUGAGAACCUUCGAUUAAGGUUCGACUCGAGCGAAAGCGAGAGAACGUUGCCAACGGCAACGGCCCGUAGGGAGAGGAGCGAAGCGACGAAUAAUCCUUCCCCCACCACCA